GGGUGAGUAACACGUGGGCAAUCUGCCCUUCACUCUGGGACAAGCCCUGGAAACGGGGUCUAAUACCGGAUACCACUGCGGGAGGCAUCUCCUGCGGUUGAAAGCUCCGGCGGUGAAGGAUGAGCCCGCGGCCUAUCAGCUUGUUGGUGGGGUAAUGGCCCACCAAGGCGACGACGGGUAGCCGGCCUGAGAGGGCGACCGGCCACACUGGGACUGAGACACGGCCCAGACUCCUACGGGAGGCAGCAGUGGGGAAUAUUGCACAAUGGGCGAAAGCCUGAUGCAGCGACGCCGCGUGAGGGAUGACGGCCUUCGGGUUGUAAACCUCUUUCAGCAGGGAAGAAGCGAAAGUGACGGUACCUGCAGAAGAAGCGCCGGCUAACUACGUGCCAGCAGCCGCGGUAAUACGUAGGGCGCAAGCGUUGUCCGGAAUUAUUGGGCGUAAAGAGCUCGUAGGCGGCUUGUCACGUCGGAUGUGAAAGCCCGAGGCUUAACCUCGGGUCUGCAUUCGAUACGGGCUAGCUAGAGUGUGGUAGGGGAGAUCGGAAUUCCUGGUGUAGCGGUGAAAUGCGCAGAUAUCAGGAGGAACACCGGUGGCGAAGGCGGAUCUCUGGGCCAUUACUGACGCUGAGGAGCGAAAGCGUGGGGAGCGAACAGGAUUAGAUACCCUGGUAGUCCACGCCGUAAACGUUGGGAACUAGGUGUUGGCGACAUUCCACGUCGUCGGUGC
rnacentral:rRNA from 1 species